UACGUAGGGGCUAGCGUUAUCCAGAAUUACUGGGCGUAAAGGGUGCGUAGGUGGUUUCUUAAGUCAGAGGUGAAAGGCUACGGCUCAACCGUAGUAAGCCUUUGAAACUGGGAAACUUGAGUGCAGGAGAGGAGAGUGGAAUUCCUGGUGUAGCGGUGGAAUGCGCAGAUAUCAGGAGGAACACCGAUGGCGAAGGCAGGUCUCUGGGCAGUAACUGACGCUGAGGAGCGAAAGCAUGGGUAGCGAACAGGAUUAGAUACCCCGGUAGUCCCU
rnacentral:rRNA from 1 species